GGUACAUCGGUGACAGGUGGUGGCAUGGUUGUCGUCAGCUCGUGUCGUGAGAUGUUGGGUUAAGUCCCGCAACGAACGCAACCCCUAUUGUUAGUUGCCAUCAUUCAGUUGGGCACUCUAGCGAGACUGCCGGUAAUAAACCGGAGGAAGGUGGGGAUGACGUCAAAUCAUCAUGCCCCUUAUGACCUGGGCUACACACGUGCUACAAUGGUUGGUACAACGAGUUGCGAGUCGGUGACGGCGAGCUAAUCUCUUAAAGCCAAUCUCAGUUCGGAUUGUAGGCUGCAACUCGCCUACAUGAAGUCGGAAUCGCUAGUAAUCGCGGAUCAGCACGCCGCGGUGAAUACGUUCCCGGGCCUU
rnacentral:rRNA from 1 species